GGUGGGCAUUGUCACAACCACAAGAGUUUUUCCUCAGGGAUCCUCUGCUGACACAGCUCCAGGAGUCUCAAGCAAUGGAAUUCCUCCAGAACUCGUUGAAUUGCCAUCAAAACAGCCAGAAGUAACAG